AACUCCGUGCCAGCAGCCGCGGUAAUACGGAGGGUGCGAGCGUUAAUCGGAAUUACUGGGCGUAAAGCGCAUGCAGGUGGUUUGUUAAGUCAGAUGUGAAAGCCCGGGGCUCAACCUCGGAAUUGCAUUUGAAACUGGCAGACUAGAGUACUGUAGAGGGGGGUAGAAUUUCAGGUGUAGCGGUGAAAUGCGUAGAGAUCUGAAGGAAUACCGGUGGCGAAGGCGGCCCCCUGGACAGAUACUGACACUCAGAUGCGAAAGCGUGGGGAGCAAACAGGAUUAGAUACCCUGGUAGUCCACGCCGUAAACGAUGUCUACUUGGAGGUUGU
rnacentral:rRNA from 1 species